GCCCGACUAGCUCAUCGGUAGAGCGCCUCACUAGUAUCCCCUUUCGAAGGAAAGAUACAUCCAAAUGAGGAGGCAACAGGUUCGAUUCCUGUGUUGGGCA